rnacentral:rRNA from 1 species
CGGGAUGCAGCAGUGAGGAAUAUUGGUCAAUGGGCGAGAGCCUGAACCAGCCAUCCCGCGUGCAGGAAGACGGCCCUAUGGGUUGUAAACUGCUUUUUCGCAUGAAGAACAUCCUUGACGUGUCAGGGACUGACGGUAAUGCGUGAAUAAGCACCGGCUAACUCCGUGCCAGCAGCCGCGGUAAUACGGAGGGUGCAAGCGUUAUCCGGAUUUAUUGGGUUUAAAGGGUGCGUAGGCGGCUAUUUAAGUCAGUGGUGAAAUCCUGCAGCUCAACUGUAGAACAGCCAUUGAAACUGAAUAGCUUGAGUAAUCUUGAGGUAGGCGGAAUGUGUAGUGUAGCGGUGAAAUGCUUAGAUAUUACACAGAACACCGAUUGCGAAGGCAGCUUACUAAGGAUUUACUGACGCUGAUGCACGAAAGCGUGGGGAUCAAACAGGAUUAGAUACCCCAGU